CAUCACAGAGCAGGGUAGCUGCUAACGGCAGCCGAGGGCGACCUUAGGGCAAGUGCAACAGAAAUAUACCGCCGCAGGAAACUGCGGUAAGGGUGGAAAGGCGAGGUAAAAGCUCACCAAGGUAUAAGUAAUUAUACCUCUAUGUAAACCCUAUCCGAUGCAACGUCUUUUUUGGAACAAUACGUUAUUGUCUGCUCGGCAGGCGUAUUGCAACGACGGCUCGAGUGUUUCGGCGACGAUUCACCAAGAUAGAUUUCCGCACACGACAAAACCCGGCUUAUCGGCUUAGUCG
rnacentral:RNase_P_RNA from 1 species